GAAAAUAGUAAUGUACAUCAGGGCCAGCCUUCAUCCCACCCGGAGGAUUUUUACCUUCUGCUGGCUGUAGGUUCCCUUGUGGCUGCAUGCCCUAUAGAAUUUGAGACUAAGAGGAACUAUGCAUUCCCAGGAGGGAGAUGCCAACGUCACCUAAUUACAAAACAUGAUGGAACUCAAAAGUUGUGGUGUAUCAUGGAUGGCAAAUUCUUUCCAGGGAAAGCAUGAAUCUAACAAGGCUGAAGGUACACCCUGCAUUUGCUUGUCCCAAAAAUGCACUGGGCAUCUGGUGUCCUCUUUUUGAGAAGAAAAGAGCUUUCUUUGAAAAGAUGACAUAUAAUGAUCAACAACAGCAGAUUUCUCUUAGAAAUUUGCUUUUGAACAAAAUUAGUUUACUUUCUAAUUUGUACAAUUGGAUUUAUUUCUACUUUUACAGAAGUGAUGAUUUUUGCCCCCC
rnacentral:lncRNA from 1 species